UUGUAUUAUAUAUAUUUAUAUAUCCUUUUCCCCUUUUACAGAUGUGCUACUAUGGAGCACGCCUACAUGUAGUGAUCUCUAUAAUCAUAAAUAUAUAGGGAUUGACAGUAACCUGCUAGCUGAAGAUCAGAAUAGAGUAUUCUUUACUCUUAACUGUGAAACGAUCGUACUAAAUUAACUAAAGGCAGGUGUUUUUUUUUUACUCUUCUCUACUGUUUUUUGUUCUGUGUGUAUCAAAAAUAUCGUUAUCAAUCUGGAGUAAUAAUUUGUAGUUUUGAAAUCAGUAGUUCUUUGACUGUUAUUUCUGAAUUCUCAGUAUGUUGGAGAAGCAGGUUACUGUCAAUCCCUAUAUAUUUAUGAUUAUAAAUGUUUUUUACCGAAAAGGUUUUUUCAUACUGAGCUACCCGGCAAAAUUGUUAAUUAUUAAUUUUAUUACUAAUUGACGAUUCCCUGCCCUGCAUAUCUAUAUUGUAGUGAUCUCUAGAUAGAUGCGUAGUUGAGCAGCAAAAUACUUCAGCUUCAUGGCUAAUGUGCAAUCGCAGAUUUACGUAGCGGCAGCGUUCACCAGGGUGCAGUGACCCAACGCUGUUGGAUCCAUACAAAGCUGUACAUAUUCCUAUGGCGAUGCUGUGACUAGACGGAUGAAAGUCGCUUCUAAAUAAAACCCUGCUUCUAUCCAUGCGUUGGGUCGAUGCACCCCGCCGUCUUUGUAUUAACUUUCAGUUGUCAUGCCUGUGAUAUUCGGCUAGGCCAAGGGCACGAAUACUGAAAGGAUGUCGUCUAUGUCAGCACGCGACAAAAAAAGAAAAAAGAAAAAAGAAACGCAAUGGCUUGUUUUACGAAAAGGAAAGUCUUUUUGUCAUCAAGUCAUACUGGAUUGUAACUGAUGGGCGGUGGAUCGAACAAAAUGUCUUGAGAGCUUCUAACGCUGGAGAUGUACUACGGUGUCAGCUGUUCACUACUACUGAACUAAGUACCCUUUACUACGUCUUUAAUGGAAAAAAUUAUAUGGAAUAGAAGAAAAAUAAUUUCGAAUGGUGAAAAGACAGAACUUUUGUGUACCCAAGGUAUUGUGAAGAAUGCCACACGUCUCGAAGUUCUCUGAUGGAAAAUAAUCCAAUAAAGAAACAAUUUCAUCCAGAAAAACUUGGUAAUAAUUCAAUUUUUCGGAGCGGUCUGAAUAACAUAUCCGUUCACACCAAAACAAAACAACAGAAACAACAACAACAACAAAAACAGCAGCAGCAGCAACAAAAACAGCAGCAGCAGUAACAACAACAACAACAACAACAACAACGCUACUUUUAGGAGAAUAAAAUAUUUCAAUCAUACCAAAAGAAUCAACAGGGACGUUAACAAAAAGAAACGCUGCAACACUAAAAUGCAACCAACGCCAAAGGAUUAUUCAAAGAUGCUGAGGAGGCUGUGGAAUAAAGACAAUCAAUACAUCAUAAAAAUGCACAACGGAGCAGAGAGGAAGAGGAAAAUAGCAUAAGAACGUCGCAAAUGCCAUCCACCAUAACCGGCAAGGAACUCACGAAUAGAUUAAGAACUGCAAGCAAUUGAAAAGUAUCUGGGAUUGAGAAGCUUCACUCUGUUUCUGGCUGAACACCUGAUCAGUAAUCAUGGGUAUAUGGCAGCUGCAUUUAAUCAAGUGAUAAGCAGACCAGAACACCUGAUUGACUGAUGGAGAAGGAAACUAUAUUAAUUCCUCAAAAUACAAAUACCGGAGACUCGCAAAAUUAUGGCCCGGUAAAAUGCUUGCCAACAAUAUAUAAAGCUCUUAUAUUGACACUAUACAAAAGGCUUGUUACACACAAGGAGAGCGAUGUGUUAUAAAAAAACAGAACAGGUAUCGGCGGAGAAUAUAUAUCUGUCAAGAGCAGCUACUUUGUGAAACGACCAAUAACAGAAGAGAGUAAAAUGACGACAACAAACGCUAACAUUUGGUUAUUUGUGUAAAUUAUGUAUUAAAAAAAAUCAAACAAAUAAAAUAAUGUAUCAUGCGUUUGCUCUGCAUCUCGUUUGUAUAUAACUAUGUAUGUACAUCACUACAUAUCUCUGAAACUUAUCGGCUGGAUUGACUACAGAAAGACAUUCGAUUGCGUUUGAUAGCAUUCCCCAUUCUUGGAUAUUGGAGACAUUCUACAUAAAUAAUGCAGCUCUAAUAAUCACAGAAUAAAUACAUCAAGCAUAUUAUAUGACAAAGUGGGAACAACAAUAUCAGAACAAGGCAAUAGGGAGAUAUUUAAGAGAAGCCUGAUAACCAUAAGAAGAGUAGUCUUCAAAAGAGGACUCAUGAUUCUUUCUACUUUUUUUGCCGAUAUCUUACUAUCAAUACAUUUUAAACCUGUUGAAUGAAACCACCAUUCGGUACAUGUAUUAGUUUCAAAUUUUGUUAGAAGGCUAGCAAUUUCGGGGAAGUGAGUAAGUCGAUUAUGUCGACCCCACUGAUCAACUGGUCCUUAUUUUAUCGAGCCUGAAAGGAUGAAAGGCAAAGUCGGCCCUGGACGGGAUUUUGAACUCAGAACGUAAAGGUGGACGAAAUGCCGCUAAGUUUUUUUACUGAUGAGCUAACGAUUCUUGCAAUUUUGCCGCCUUGGCGGAGGUAAAUACAUUUUCUUCUACUCUAGGCUUAAGGCCUGAAAUUUUUGGGGAGGUGGGGGCAGUCGAUUACAUGUCCCCCCCCCCCCAGUACGCAACUGGAUAAAAGGCAAAGUGCCCGAUAGGAUAAAAGGCAAAAUCGACAGCGGCGAAAAUUUGAACUCGGAACGUAAAGACAGACGAAAUACCGCUAAGCAUUUCACCCGGCGUGCUAACGUUUCUUAUUUCUUUACUGCCCACAAGGAGCUACACACAGAGGGGACAAACAAGGACGGACAAACGGAUUAAGUCGAUUAUAUCGACCCCAAUGCGUAACUGGUACUUAUUUAAUCGACCCCCGAAAGGAUGAAAAGCAAAGUCGACCUCGGCGGAAUUUGAACUCAAAACGUAGCGGCAAACGAAAUGCCGCUAAGCAUUUCGCCCGGCGUGCUAACGUUUCUGCCAGCUCGCCGCCUUACUUUGCUAGAAUAUUCUUUUCUAUUUUGGGGGGAAGGAACCAGUCGAUUAGAUCGACCCCAGUACACAACUAGUACUUAAUUUAUCGAACCUGAAAUGGUGAAAGGCAAAGUUGACCUCGGCGGAAUUUGAACUCAGAACGUAGCGAUAGACGAAAUACCACUAAGCAUUUCGCCCAGCGUGCUAACGUUUCUGUCAGCUCGUCGUCUUGACAUAGAGAUCAUACAGAGUUAGCAAGAAAUGCAGCAAUGACUCAAAAAAAGACACCUUUCCGGCCCCUGACGAUGUAAGAGAGGGAAAAUGAGAGAGCUAUACCAGCAAUCGUCUGGUAAUCAUUUACAGCAGAGCAGUCUGAAACUGCAUGAAAUGCGGUGCUUUACUGAAGAAGACAGCGUGAUCACCGGCUCAGGUAUUGAACUCACAACUUUAGGAUCAUCAGCUGAACACUCUGACCACUAAACAACUCGCCUUCACUACCAAGUCAUUGUAAACACUAUAACAAUUGGCGAACUUACAAAAAAGACAAAAAAAAAAAAAAGAAGAAGAAGAAGAAGCUGAACAUCUUCGUUGAAUGGCCUCCUCGGAGUUUUUCUUUCCAAACUGAACUAUGUUUUAUAAGGAACCACCUUGUUGCUUUACUAGCACACACAAAAGAAAACAAUCAAUCAGUUA